GGGGUAGGAAAGGGUUCGACCAGGGAAACAACCGCAUGCGGACUCCCUGGGACCGGGGUUCGACUCCCCGCUACUCCACUC
rnacentral:tmRNA from 1 species